rnacentral:misc_RNA from 1 species
UCGCCGACGAAGGCCUCGGCGGUUUCCGCCUCGCGAUUCCAGUAGCCCCUGGUGACAUUCGGGCCGCGGAUGCGGAUUUCACCGGUUUCGCCGACCGGCAUCACUUUUUUCGGAUCGUCGAGCGAGACCACAUCCAUCUCGAUGCCGGGAAGCAUGAGGCCGAUCGAACCGGGCUUCUCCGGGCCGUCCGGCGGAUGGCCGGUGCCGGGUGAGCAAGUCUCGGUCAUGCCCCACCCGCUUUUCAGCGCAAGCUUGGUCUUGCGCUCGAACACCUUCGCCACUUCCACCGGCAACGGGGCGCCGCCGGAGCCGGCAAACGCCAGCGACGACAGGUCGCGCUUGUCGAGAUCGGGCAGGCUGGCGA